rnacentral:rRNA from 1 species
GAAGGUGGCCUGUGAGGGUUGCUGGAGGUAUCAGAAGUGCGAAUGCUGACAUAAGUAACGAUAAAGCGGGUGAAAAGCCCGCUCGCCGGAAGACCAAGGGUUCCUGUCCAACGUUAAUCGGGGCAGGGUGAGUCGACCCCUAAGGCGAGGCCGAAAGGCGUAGUCGAUGGGAAACGGGUUAAUAUUCCCGUACUUGGUGUUACUGCGAAGGGGGGACGGAGAAGGCUAUGUUGGCCGGGCGACGGUUGUCCCGGUUUAAGCGUGUAGGUGUGUGUUCCAGGUAAAUCCGGUUCACUUUAACACUGAGGCGUGACGACGAGGCACUACGGUGCUGAAGCAACAAAUGCCCUGCUUCCAGGAAAAGCCUCUAAGCAUCAGGUAACAUCAAAUCGUACCCCAAACCGACACAGGUGGUCAGGUAGAGAAUACCAAGGCGCUUGAGAGAACUCGGGUGAAGGAACUAGGCAAAAUGGUGCCGUAACUUCGGGAGAAGGCACGCUGACAUGUAGGUGAAGUGAUUUACUCACGGAGCUGAAGUCAGUCGAAGAUACCAGCUGGCUGCAACUGUUUAUUAAAAACACAGCACUGUGCAAACACGAAAGUGGACGUAUACGGUGUGACGCCUGCCCGGUGCCGGAAGGUUAAUUGAUGGGGUCAGCGCAAGCGAAGCUCCUGAUCGAAGCCCCGGUAAACGGCGGCCGUAACUAUAACGGUCCUAAGGUAGCGAAAUUCCUUGUCGGGUAAGUUCCGACCUGCACGAAUGGCGUAAUGAUGGCCAGGCUGUCUCCACCCGAGACUCAGUGAAAUUGAACUCGCUGUGAAGAUGCAGUGUACCCGCGGCAAGACGGAAAGACCCCGUGAACCUUUACUAUAGCUUGACACUGAACAUUGAGCCUUGAUGUGUAGGAUAGGUGGGAGGCUUUGAAGUGUGGACGCCAGUCUGCAUGGAGCCGACCUUGAAAUACCACCCUUUAAUGUUUGAUGUUCUAACGUGGACCCGUAAUCCGGGUUGCGGACAGUGUCUGGUGGGUAGUUUGACUGGGGCGGUCUCCUCCUAAAGAGUAACGGAGGAGCACGAAGGUUGGCUAAUCCUGGUCGGACAUCAGGAGGUUAGUGCAAUGGCAUAAGCCAGCUUGACUGCGAGCGUGACGGCGCGAGCAGGUGCGAAAGCAGGUCAUAGUGAUCCGGUGGUUCUGAAUGGAAGGGCCAUCGCUCAACGGAUAAAAGGUACUCCGGGGAUAACAGGCUGAUACCGCCCAAGAGUUCAUAUCGACGGCGGUGUUUGGCACCUCGAUGUCGGCUCAUCACAUCCUGGGGCUGAAGUAGGUCCCAAGGGUAUGGCUGUUCGCCAUUUAAAGUGGUACGCGAGCUGGGUUUAGAACGUCGUGAGACAGUUCGGUCCCUAUCUGCCGUGGGCGCUGGAGAACUGAGGGGGGCUGCUCCUAGUACGAGAGGACCGGAGUGGACGCAUCACUGGUGUUCGGGUUGUCAUGCCAAUGGCACUGCCCGGUAGCUAAAUGCGGAAGAGAUAAGUGCUGAAAGCAUCUAAGCACGAAACUUGCCCCGAGAUGAGUUCUCCCUGAGACUU